UGCAAGUCGAGCGGUAGAGAGAAGCUUGCUUCUCUUGAGAGCGGCGGACGGGUGAGUAAUGCCUAGGAAUCUGCCUGGUAGUGGGGGAUAACGUUCGGAAACGGACGCUAAUACCGCAUACGUCCUACGGGAGAAAGCAGGGGACCUUCGGGCCUUGCGCUAUCAGAUGAGCCUAGGUCGGAUUAGCUAGUUGGUGGGGUAAUGGCUCACCAAGGCGACGAUCCGUAACUGGUCUGAGAGGAUGAUCAGUCACACUGGAACUGAGACACGGUCCAGACUCCUACGGGAGGCAGCAGUGGGGAAUAUUGGACAAUGGGCGAAAGCCUGAUCCAGCCAUGCCGCGUGUGUGAAGAAGGUCUUCGGAUUGUAAAGCACUUUAAGUUGGGAGGAAGGGUUGUAGAUUAAUACUCUGCAAUUUUGACGUUACCGACAGAAUAAGCACCGGCUAACUCUGUGCCAGCAGCCGCGGUAAUACAGAGGGUGCAAGCGUUAAUCGGAAUUACUGGGCGUAAAGCGCGCGUAGGUGGUUUGUUAAGUUGGAUGUGAAAUCCCCGGGCUCAACCUGGGAACUGCAUUCAAAACUGACUGACUAGAGUAUGGUAGAGGGUGGUGGAAUUUCCUGUGUAGCGGUGAAAUGCGUAGAUAUAGGAAGGAACACCAGUGGCGAAGGCGACCACCUGGACUAAUACUGACAC
rnacentral:rRNA from 1 species